rnacentral:lncRNA from 1 species
GCAUCCGCUGCUCUGUUAAGUGAUCACCACAUUCAUUGUUCUCGUUUCUAUUAUUUCUGAAAAAAAUCUUCAGGAUUCUGCUUGUGGGAGUGGAUGACAUUUUUACAGUGUUUACAGGCUGAAAAUUUUUCGAGCUUUUAUGCUCUGCUUCCGUUAUAAGGAGGAGGCCUCACAAUCCUGGUGGAAGGCAAGGAGGAGCAAGUCACAUCUUAUGUGGAUGGCAGCAGGCAAAGAAAGCUUAUGCAGACACAAAAUGAACAAGAUGUCUGUGGCAACCCUCAGACCAUUGACGCCUUCUCUCCUAUGUAUCAAAUCACACAUUUGGACGUUGACUGAACCCUCACAUGUCAGAUGCUCAAUAUUGAGGUAUAGUAAAAGGGAGCAUGAACUUGAGAAAAUACGCUUUCAACACAAAGCUGUAAUAAUAUAAGGUCAAAUAAGAUUCUGCAUUGGAGAUAGAAAACUCUGAAGGAAGCUUUAUCUAUUCCAGAAUGUCAUAUAGCUGGUAUAAGGUUCAGGGGGCCCAUGUACAGGUUUGUUACAUGGGUGU